CGCACUGCGAUGGGCACAGGACUGCCCCUCCAGACUGGUUCAGCCCCUGCAACGCGGUGGCGGAGCUGCACGAAGAGGAGCAGCGCUCAGUUCCAACUCCCAAAGGAUAAAGCCUCACCCAACCGCUCGGGGCUGCGGACCAAAGGCACCGUGAGCAUCUCACCCUGAGAUGGGUGGGGGUGAACCUUCCUCAGGAUCGCCGGCAGUGGGCACAUCCUGAAGCUGUCAGUUUGUAACUUUCCCACUGGAAAACGCGGUUCCAGCGCUUCCAGCCCUGCAGCAGCUCAUGCCACAGGGCAUGGCACACGAUCUUCCUUACAAAUUGAGGUGUUACACAGCGCCGAAUGAGCUGACACGCUGCAGAUAGCACUGCGAGUGUUUUGUCACCCUGAUAUUUCACAGCGGAGUUGUGUAGCACUUUUG
ensembl:lncRNA